AGAAUUUUUAAAGCUUCGAACAAGCAUGUAGUGCUCUUAUGCUCCGAUGCAAGAAGUUCUUCUUUGAAGAGUGAGUUGUACAAGCCAUCAUUUGCUGGAUUUGUAGAUGUGGAUUUGUCUACUACUAAGAAGCUUUCUCUUAGGAGUUUGAUUGAUCAUUCUGUAAUAG